rnacentral:rRNA from 1 species
AUGAAAGAAUCGGAAGGGGUUUGUGAAUUUGCGUUGAAGCUAACUUCCCUGGUUAAUGAGAUGCGAGCUCUCAGAUCAAAGAUGGAGGACAUCGUGGUUGUGGAGAAAUUACUACGAGUCAUUCCCAACAAGUUUUUACCGAUCGUUGGCACCAUAGAGCAGUGGAGCGAUGUGACAAAGAUGUUGGUGAUGGAGGUGAUCGGGCGGCUGAAGACCUAUGAGUUGACGUUGAAGGGGUGUGAACGCAAUCAAGAACAAGAGCAGUUGAUGUUCUCGCGUAGAAGUACCAAAAGUUCGACAAAUCUAAAAUCCGUUGCUACAAUUAUCAGGACUAUGGACACUAUUCUCGAGAGUGUCCUAAUCCAAGGAAGGAGGCAAAGAAGGAGCAUGGGACUCUACAACUAG